GGAUCAGUGGCGAACGGGUGAGUAACACGUGAGCAACCUGCCCUGGACUCUGGGAUAAGCGCUGGAAACGGCGUCUAAUACUGGAUAUGAGACGUGAUCGCAUGGUCGUGUUUGGAAAGAUUUUUCGGUCUGGGAUGGGCUCGCGGCCUAUCAGCUUGUUGGUGAGGUAAUGGCUCACCAAGGCGUCGACGGGUAGCCGGCCUGAGAGGGUGACCGGCCACACUGGGACUGAGACACGGCCCAGACUCCUACGGGAGGCAGCAGUGGGGAAUAUUGCACAAUGGGCGGAAGCCUGAUGCAGCAACGCCGCGUGAGGGAUGACGGCCUUCGGGUUGUAAACCUCUUUUAGCAGGGAAGAAGCGAAAGUGACGGUACCUGCAGAAAAAGCGCCGGCUAACUACGUGCCAGCAGCCGCGGUAAUACGUAGGGCGCAAGCGUUAUCCGGAAUUAUUGGGCGUAAAGAGCUCGUAGGCGGUUUGUCGCGUCUGCUGUGAAAUCCCGAGGCUCAACCUCGGGCCUGCAGUGGGUACGGGCAGACUAGAGUGCGGUAGGGGAGAUUGGAAUUCCUGGUGUAGCGGUGGAAUGCGCAGAUAUCAGGAGGAACACCGAUGGCGAAGGCAGAUCUCUGGGCCGUAACUGACGCUGAGGAGCGAAAGGGUGGGGAGCAAACAGGCUUAGAUACCCUGGUAGUCCACCCCGUAAACGUUGGGAACUAGUUGUGGGGACCAUUCCACGGUUUCCGUGACGCAGCUAACGCAUUAAGUUCCCCGCCUGGGGAGUACGGCCGCAAGGCUAAAACUCAAAGGAAUUGACGGGGACCCGCACAAGCGGCGGAGCAUGCGGAUUAAUUCGAUGCAACGCGAAGAACCUUACCAAGGCUUGACAUAUACGAGAACGGGCCAGAAAUGGUCAACUCUUUGGACACUCGUAAACAGGUGGUGCAUGGUUGUCGUCAGCUCGUGUCGUGAGAUGUUGGGUUAAGUCCCGCAACGAGCGCAACCCUCGUUCUAUGUUGCCAGCACGUAAUGGUGGGAACUCAUGGGAUACUGCCGGGGUCAACUCGGAGGAAGGUGGGGAUGACGUCAAAUCAUCAUGCCCCUUAUGUCUUGGGCUUCACGCAUGCUACAAUGGCCGGUACAAAGGGCUGCAAUACCGUAAGGUGGAGCGAAUCCCAAAAAGCCGGUCCCAGUUCGGAUUGAGGUCUGCAACUCGACCUCAUGAAGUCGGAGUCGCUAGUAAUCGCAGAUCAGCAACGCUGCGGUGAAUACGUUCCCGGGUCUUGUACACACCGCCCGUCAAGUCAUGAAAGUCGGUAACACCUG
rnacentral:rRNA from 1 species